GUGAGGUCUGCUAAUCUGCUAAUCUGUAGACUGAGGUUGUGGUAGAGGGGGGAAUAAGUGAGGUCUGCUAAUCUGCUAAUCUGUAGACUGAGGUUGUGGUAGGGCUAAGUGAGGUCUGCUAAUCUGCUAAUCUGUAGGCUGAGGUUGUGGUGGGGGGGGAUAAGUGAGGUCUGCUAAUCUGCUAAUCUGUAUGCUGAGGUUGUGGUAGGGGGGGGGAUAAGUGAGGUCUGCUAAUCUGCUAAUCUGUAGGCUGAGGUUGUGGUAGGGGGGGAUAAGUGAGGUCUGUCACCUACUGUACUGCCCUCAGGGCCACUUAUGAGCUCGUCAGCUCCGUCUCAUGCUUUAUUCAUACCACAAUCAUUUAACUAAGUGCACCGACUAUUUCAAUAUUUAAUGCUGUUGUAAUCGAUAUGGAACCCGGCAUUUUGCCCCAGUUUUUCAGCUUUUUUUUUUCUAAUCUCGCAAAAGUUCUGUUAUUUGAAUUAAAGGUUAAUCGAGUUGCGCAAGAGAUGGUAAUUACACAUUGAUCAAAGAUUUGCUCUCCCCAUCAUCGUUCGCAACCCACCCCACCCCACCCCACCCCCCUUCCUUUUUUUACUCAACAUCACCCUGACUGCAUGCAAGAUGGCCCCCAGCACAAACUGAC
ensembl:lncRNA